ACUAGAUACUCAGGAGUGGGGGGUGAGGAAAAAGGGAGGCUUCAAAAAAACUUUCAUAUGCUAAAGAGGACUUACAAGAUACCGGAGGCCUUGAGGCCUUGUCAUUGUCAAGUUUUUUUUUCCCUCUAGCAAGGUAUUAACAUUA